rnacentral:misc_RNA from 1 species
AAGUCGUAACAAGGUUUCCGUAGGUGAACCUGCGGAAGGAUCAUUAUCGAAUGAACGUGGGGUCCGGUUGUCGCUGGCCUGCAAAGGCAUGUGCACGCCUCCUCUCUCAUCCACACACCCCUGUGCACUCGUGAGACGGAGGCUUAUCUUCUUCCCUUUCGUUUAGGGAGAGAUCGGUUUCCGUCUGCCAUUAUACAAGCUCAAUUAAUUUAAUUUGAAUGUAAUUGACGCGACGCGUCUAAUAAAUAUACAAAGUUUCAACAACGGAUCUCUUGGCUCUC